rnacentral:rRNA from 1 species
AGAGUUUGAUCCUGGCUCAGAUUGAACGCUGGCGGCAUGCCUUACACAUGCAAGUCGAACGGCAGCACGAGAGCUUGCUCUUGGUGGCGAGUGGCGAACGGGUGAGUAAUAUAUCGGAACGUACCCUAGAGUGGGGGAUAACGUAGCGAAAGUUACGCUAAUACCGCAUACGAUCUACGGAUGAAAGUGGGGGAUCGCAAGACCUCAUGCUCAUGGAGCGGCCGAUAUCUGAUUAGCUAGUUGGUGGGGUAAAAGCUCACCAAGGCGACGAUCAGUAGCUGGUCUGAGAGGACGACCAGCCACACUGGAACUGAGACACGGUCCAGACUCCUACGGGAGGCAGCAGUGGGGAAUUUUGGACAAUGGGCGCAAGCCUGAUCCAGCAAUGCCGCGUGAGUGAAGAAGGCCUUCGGGUUGUAAAGCUCUUUUGUCAGGGAAGAAACGGUGGACUCUAAUACAGAUCACUAAUGACGGUACCUGAAGAAUAAGCACCGGCUAACUACGUGCCAGCAGCCGCGGUAAUACGUAGGGUGCAAGCGUUAAUCGGAAUUACUGGGCGUAAAGCGUGCGCAGGCGGUCGUGCAAGACAGAUGUGAAAUCCCCGGGCUCAACCUGGGAAUUGCAUUUGUGACUGCACGGCUAGAGUGUGUCAGAGGGGGGUAGAAUUCCACGUGUAGCAGUGAAAUGCGUAGAGAUGUGGAGGAAUACCGAUGGCAAAGGCAGCCCCCUGGGAUAACACUGACGCUCAUGCACGAAAGCGUGGGGAGCAAACAGGAUUAGAUACCCUGGUAGUCCACGCCCUAAACGAUGUCUACUAGUUGUCGGGUCUUAAUUGACUUGGUAACGCAGCUAACGCGUGAAGUAGACCGCCUGGGGAGUACGGUCGCAAGAUUAAAACUCAAAGGAAUUGACGGGGACCCGCACAAGCGGUGGAUGAUGUGGAUUAAUUCGAUGCAACGCGAAAAACCUUACCUACCCUUGACAUGCCUGGAAUCCUUGAGAGAUCAGGGAGUGCUCGAAAGAGAAUCAGAACACAGGUGCUGCAUGGCUGUCGUCAGCUCGUGUCGUGAGAUGUUGGGUUAAGUCCCGCAACGAGCGCAACCCUUGUCAUUAGUUGCUACGAAAGGGCACUCUAAUGAGACUGCCGGUGACAAACCGGAGGAAGGUGGGGAUGACGUCAAGUCCUCAUGGCCCUUAUGGGUAGGGCUUCACACGUCAUACAAUGGUACAUACAGAGGGCCGCCAACCCGCGAGGGGGAGCUAAUCCCAGAAAGUGUAUCGUAGUCCGGAUUGUAGUCUGCAACUCGACUACAUGAAGUUGGAAUCGCUAGUAAUCGCGGAUCAGCAUGUCGCGGUGAAUACGUUCCCGGGUCUUGUACACACCGCCCGUCACACCAUGGGAGCGGGUUUCACCAGAAGUGGGUAGCCUAACCGCAAGGAGGGCGCUCACCACGGUGGGAUUCGUGACUGGGGUGAAGUCGUAACAAGGUA